CAUGAAGUCGGAAUCGCUAGUAAUCGUGGAUCAGAAUGCCACGGUGAAUACGUUCCCGGGCCUUGUACACACCGCCCGUCACACCAUGGGAGUGGGUUGCAAAAGAAGUAGGUAGCUUAACCUUCGGGAGGGCGCUUACCACUUUGUGAUUCAUGACUGGGGUGAAGUCGUAACAAGGUAACCGUAGGGGAACCUGCGGUUGGAUCACCUCCUUACCUUAAAGAAGC
rnacentral:rRNA from 1 species